rnacentral:rRNA from 1 species
ACUCCUACGGGAGGCAGCAGUAGGGAAUCUUCCACAAUGGGCGCAAGCCUGAUGGAGCAACACCGCGUGAGUGAAGAAGGGUUUCGGCUCGUAAAGCUCUGUUGUUAAAGAAGAACACGUAUGAGAGUAACUGUUCAUACGUUGACGGUAUUUAACCAGAAAGUCACGGCUAACUACGUGCCAGCAGCCGCGGUAAUACGUAGGUGGCAAGCGUUAUCCGGAUUUAUUGGGCGUAAAGAGAGUGCAGGCGGUUUUCUAAGUCUGAUGUGAAAGCCUUCGGCUUAACCGGAGAAGUGCAUCGGAAACUGGAUAACUUGAGUGCAGAAGAGGGUAGUGGAACUCCAUGUGUAGCGGUGGAAUGCGUAGAUAUAUGGAAGAACACCAGUGGCAAAGGCGGCUACCUGGUCUGCAACUGACGCUGAGACUCGAAAGCAUGGGUAGCGAACAGGAUUAGAUACCCUGGUAGGAUAGCG